AGAGUUUGAUCAUGUCUCUGAUUGAACGCUGGCGGCAGGCCUAACACAUGCAAGUCGAGCGGAUGAUGGGAGCUUGCUCCCGGAUUCAGCGGCGGACGGGUGAGUAAUGCCUAGGAAUCUGCCUGGUUGUGGGGGACAACGUUUCGAAAGGAACGCUAAUACCGCAUACGUCCUACGGGAGAAAGCAGGGGACCUUCGGGCCUUGCGCUAUCAGAUGAGCCUAUGUCGGAUUAGCUAGUUGGUGGGGUAAAGGCCUACCAAGGCGACGAUCCGUAACUGGUCUGAGAGGAUGAUCAGUCACACUGGAACUGAGACACGGUCCAGACUCCUACGGGAGGCAGCAGUGGGGAAUAUUGGACAAUGGGCGAAAGCCUGAUCCAGCCAUGCCGCGUGUGUGAAGAAGGUCUUCGGAUUGUAAAGCACUUUAAGUUGGGAGGAAGGGCAGUAAGUUAAUACCUUGCUGUUUUGACGUUACCAACAGAAUAGGCACCGGCUAACUUCGUGCCAGCAGCCGCGGUUAUACGAAGGGUGCAAGCGUUAAUCGGAAUUACUGGGCGUAAAGCGCG
rnacentral:rRNA from 1 species